rnacentral:rRNA from 1 species
GCGAAUUAGGCUGCGAGCAUCCUGCUCCGUGGGCUCUUCUUAGAGGGACUAUGGGUUUCAAACCCAUGGAAGUUUGAGGCAACAACAGGUCUGUGAUGCCCUUAGACGUUCUGGGCCGCACGCGCGCUACACUGACGGAGCCAGCAAGUAUAUCCUUGGUCGAGAGGCCCGGGUAAUCUCGUGAAACUCCGUCGUGCUGGGGAUAGAGCAUUGUAAUUUUUGCUCUUCAACGAGGAAUUCCUAGUAAGCGCAAGUCAUCAGCUUGCGUUGAUUACGUCCCUGCCCUUUGUACACACCGCCCGUCGCUACUACCGGUGAGA